rnacentral:rRNA from 1 species
GACGAACGCUGGCGGCGUGCUUAACACAUGCAAGUCGAGCGGUAAGGCCCUUUCGGGGGUACACGAGCGGCGAACGGGUGAGUAACACGUGGGUGACCUGCCCUCAGCUCUGGGAUAAGCCUGGGAAACCGGGUCUAAUACUGGAUAUGACUCCAUGACGCAUGUUGUGGGGUGGAAAGCCUUGUGCGGCUGAGGAUGGGGCCCGCGGCCUAUCAGCUUGUUGGUGGGGUGAGGCCUACCAAGGCGACGACGGGUAGCCGGCCUGAGAGGGCGACCGGCCACACUGGGACUGAGACACGGCCCAGACUCCUACGGGAGGCAGCAGUGGGGAAUCUUGCGCAAUGGGCAAAAGCCUGACGCAGCGACGCCGCGUGAGGGAUGACGG